CACACGCAUUCCACAGAGGCUUGCUCUGGGAUAUUUGUCAACCAUCCUUGCCAAUCAAAUUAGUGAUUCUCAGGUGAAUUUGGGCUUAGAAAAACGAUAAAAAUCACAGGAUUGAUGCCAAAAAAAAAAAUCUUGUGAAGAAACUGGCUCAAGAACAAAAAUGGCUUGUCAACAGAAAUAAUAUGAUGUAUGCUUCAUUUGCUAAAAAAAUGGAGUCCAGAGACCCAAUAUGUACAAACUACAAUCCCAUACAAAGCAUUGCUGCUUUUGUAUAAUUUCCAAAAAGAGGAACCCAGAAACACUGACGGCAAUGCGAUUCACCUUUUGAUUGAUGGGUUCAGGUAAGGCAAAAUCUAAAACUAUAUCCUGUGUAAUGGUAAUUUCUCCUUAUUGGAUGCAACAGUGCAAUCUGCUAUUUGUAAAAAUAAAAUGGCAAUCACAGCUGCCUGAUUGAGCUAAAUAAUGAAUCAAUCUGACCAAAUAUAGUGAGUAUGAAGCGAGCAAGAGAUGUACGAAACCAGUUGGAGGGCCUUUCGGAGAUGGUUGAAAUUGAGCUAUCGUCCAACCCCAAUGGUUUAGAUGCGAUAAAGAAGUCCAUAGCAUCUGGGUUUUUCCCCAUUCAGCUAGGCUACAGAAGAAUGGAUCCUACAGAACUGUGAAACAUCCCACAGACGGUUCACUUUCACCCCAGCUCAAGGUUGUUGUGGGUGCUUCCAACAUGGGUUAUAUACCACGAGCUGGUUCUUACUUCCAAGGAGUCAUGAGGCAAGUAAAGGAACUAAAGCCAGACUGGCUGGUAGAAAUAGCUCCCCAUUAUUACCAGAUGAAGGAUGUUGAAGAUCCUGGGUCGAGGAAAAUGCCAAGAGGGCUAGGACUAGCAUGAUAGCAGCUGGGUUCAUGUGUUUAUUUCUUUCCUCAAGAAGUCUUACGCCUAGACAAGGAAGACAAUAUUGAGGAAGUGCUAUUCUCCUCGCUCAUGGAUGGAACUGUUGCUGCUGCUGCUGCUGUUCCAUCUUCCGUAGAUAGAAGCACAAGAGCUAGCAUGGACCCUCUUGCCUUGAGAGCAUGGGAAGUGGUAAUAGUUGGUUGAUAAUAUUUAAAUAAAGUAUGUAUACAGUGCUGGUGUUACAUAUUUCCUGCAUACAGAUCUCAAUCUCUCUUUUUUCUAAAUGGAUUUUGCAUAAAAUCAGCAGAUGAGGCAGGUAGGUCUCUUUAGAUGCUACACUGCUAACACCAUUGCAGUGCAAAAGCAUUACGGGAGCAGUUCAUAGCAGAGCAUUUUGGCUAUCAUUUGCCUUCAAUGUUUUCUUCAGGAGGCUCAGGAGUUGAUAAAAGGGAGGUCAUCUUUUCACUGGAGAAUUGCGGAAAAUACAGGGACGGCAACAGGGGUCGCUGUGGGGCCGGCGGGUGCUGUAGGAGGGAUAGUUGGUAUAGUUUUGGCAGCGGCUGCCACAGGAAUGAGGCGAUUCGUGGGUGGUAACAGCCAUAGAUUCAUAGUUGUAUUUCACCGGAUACGUCAGGGUAUGGUGCCCAAUUUCAUGGAUGCUUGGUGAUCCGUCAUGCUUUCUUUUGCUGUCUUCGUUCUUGAUGCUAGGCUCUGGAUGGUUGACGUAUUCAUGCAGCAGGAAACUGCUUGCAUAUUCAAGGGUACAAUAUAAAUCUAAUAAUUUUGUCUAGACUAUAGUUUUAACAUUCAAAUUUAGCCAAAUUACAUAGUGCAUUGAUCAAA